rnacentral:sRNA from 1 species
UUAUAUAAAAAAAAUUAACCUUUGAAUACGUGUUUCUUGAUUCAUUAACAAUGAAGCAAAUAUACAACAAAAUUGGUGUUCGGUGGGUUACAUUUAACGCUAAUUAAUUGACCAAUUCAUUUUGUUCAAGAUUAACUACUUUUAAGUACUAGCAUGGAUUAUAUUUUGACAAAAAAAAGGUUUCGACAAAAAAAACCGUCGCAGUGUUGUGACGUCAAUAUUGCUGGUAUUUGCGGACGUAUUUUUAUCAAAUAUUUCGUGAAUAUUAUAUAAAUAUACUGUUUUAUCUUAGCUGUUUUCUACAUGACUGGCUUGUUUUCCUGCUAUAUGAUUACUUUGAUUGUUUUUGCCUCAAUUUUCGUCUCGUACAUCGAUACGAAAUCCUACUUAGCCCACUUAAGCCCCCUUUAUUUAAACAGUUCAACGACUUGAGCAACUGCGCUAUCCAACACUAAGUACAAAAACAAUUAUUCUUUGCCGUGAUAAGUAUGUACUGGAAAUAUUCAGAAACAUAAUUAGUUUAUGUUGAGGAACGUAUAACAAGUCCAUCGCUAAGCGAAGAACCAUCGCCAAAAGAGAACAAGAAGAGAAUGGAAGAGACGAAAAUUUGUAUAAACACAUAUGUAUUCUUACCGCCGCUGCGACGGAAUUUUUCAUUACCAAAUAGACAUUGAACUGUACGAGAACAAAAUAAAUACAGUCCACUAAAAUCAAAUCCGUCGAGCAUAUUAUUCGCGAACAGUUUACAUAAAAAACAAAAUUUUUAAGCAAGAGAAGUCCUAUCGCUCCUUGGGCAGAUCUUGAAUAUAUUUCUGCGCGAUACAUUGAGAAGCUUUUAACGCACCUAAAGGCUAAGGAACCAUCCGAUUCCUGCAGUCGGAAGACUGUCCGUCAAUCAAACUCGGAGGAAUACGGCUGAUGAAGUCCGUGGCUUGCUUCAGUAUGGGUCUGGCAUUCAUGAGAAUCGAAUAACGAUCACACUCACACAUUCACAUCAAUGUGGAUGACAAUGAGCUGUUGCCCAAGAUCUCGGCCAAAUUGGAUCUGCUUUCGUACGUUCUGCAACAGACGCAUGUGCACGGCUUUGUGAAAAUGGCCGAACUGCAUCAUAUACUUUGGAAGAAGCUGGCGAUCGUGCCCCCAAGGAGAUCAUCAUCCAGCAGGAACGCGUGACGUUUUAUAAUCAGUUAAUCCUCUUCCAUAUGCUGCCGCUACUGUUCGCCAUUAAAUAUGCCCACAGGCAGGCGGACGAGGCUUCUCGCACUGAACUGUUCGACGCUUACGUUCUGAAAUUAAUGGAAAUGUCGUGUGAGCAGAUAUUGGCAGAUGGUCUGUUCACGCCAGAGUUAGCCAACAAGUGGACCAGGCGUAAAAGCUCGUGCAGCUGGCUAUGGAGCAUUUCCCAUCGCCGAACAUGGCGUUGCUGGUAGUCAAUCUGCAGGGCUCUGCCUUGGUUUGCCUGGGUCCCACUAUUGUCAAGCGCAUGCAUGAUACCAAUGCAUUUCGGCCAAUGAAAAUAGUCAAAAAUGAAAUGAGAAAAUUAUUGGACGAAAAAUCGUCAUCGACCUGCACCCUAACAAUAGAACGGAGCUGCGAACGUUUUCCGGAAAUAUACCAAAUAGUAUGGUAUAUAUAUUUACUUUACGGAAAAAUACUAUAAAAUAUUACCGCGGCCACACUAUCCUAAACUCUUCCCGAAAAACAAUGAAAAGAAAUGUGUUACACUUGGCUUGUUUCCCAGAGGGCAACGCCGGCUAGCUG